AGGAAAAGGCGAGCAAAGUUACCUGUCCCUCUAGGCUAUGGAGCGCUUUGUCUACCCGUCCUAUAGCAUCUACCAAAGUUAUGGGAACGCCUUCAGCCACAGCCACAACGUGGCCCCCAGGCCGCCAUCUAAGCAAAAGCAGCCUGGCUGGAAGCAGAGCAAGAGCAGCAGGAGCAGCAUCCCGAGCCCUUACCGGGGCCCCCUGUCUGCCCCUUCCUCGGCCCCGCUGCCCCCCUUGCCGCCGCCGCCGGCCUCGCCGGAUUAUUUAGACAGCUACAAGCGGGCCCAGCUGAAGGCGCUGCUCUCUCAAGUCAGCCCCGGCCUCGCCCCGAGGCUCCGCAAAGCCAGCACCAAGGAGGUGGGCACCCAGGUCAACCCGCGGGUGGACGCCGCCGUGCAGUGCUCGCUCGGGUCCCGCCAGCUCCAGAGCCUCCCCGGGCGGGAGCCUCCGCCGCAGCAGGGCCGCCAACUCUCCCCUUGCGCCGAGGAGGAGGCGGCGGAGAAGAAGCCGCCCACGGGGCGAGAAGGAGGGCCGCCAUCCCAGCAGCAAGCCGAAGAGCCCGAGGGGAAGGAGCCCCUGGAGCCGGAGAAGGGCGCCCAGGCUGAGGCGAAGGGGAAGCUUCCAGGCAGCGGGGAAGGAGAAGAACCCGCCCAGCAGCUGCGGGACGGGGAAGGCGACGCGGCCCAGAAAGGCGCCGCUGACGCCGCCGCGGCCUCCACUGCCACUGAGGGCAAGAGAGCUGCUUUCCAGUUCCUAGAACAGAAGUAUGGCUAUUUCCAUUGCAACGACUGCAAGACCAGAUGGGAAAGUGCUUACGUAUGGUGCAUUUCUGGAACCAAUAAGGUUUACUUUAAACAGCUUUGUCGCAAAUGUCAGAAGAGCUUUAAUCCUUAUAAAGUGGAAGCAAUUCAGUGCCGUUCUCUGUCAUAUCUAGGCUAAAGCUGUCGCUGUAUUCAAAAGCUGCAGGGAGUUCAUUUGUAGAGCCGGAGAGAUCAUCUUCCUGUACAGAGGCUGGGUGUACUUCCUGAAAGCUGGCUUUCUUCCAGAAGCUGCAUAUCACACUUGUCCAGACUAUCAAGAGAACGCCUGCGUACUCCCCAGUUGAAAUUGUCCAUGCUUUCACCCUGCAAUCACAGCAUUGGUUUGUUUUCUCUGCCACAACAAUUCUCCACCCCCCCAGCUUUAUUUAGCAACAUUUCAUAAGGUCAGUAAGGAUUUAAAGAAAGUUAGACUUUCAGCUGCAAAAUUAUUUUUCAUAUAAAUUAACAAUAUAUGAAUUAUAAUAAUCCAGAAAGAUGAAUAAUCCAGAAAGGUGAAGCUACAGCAAUUCCUAAAGGGAGCUGACAACAUUGUGGUCAACAGAUCCCUUCUUCACCACCCAAAAAGUCGCCUGCAUGUCAACUUUUGAUCUUCAAUGGGGAGGUGCACUUUGAGUACCAUGGGGCAGCUACACCCCCAUUUAAAAGUAAACGGCACCAUCCGCUGGACAGCAUUUCUGUCCACUGAAAUUAUCGCAAACUGUUGGAACAGCAGCAAAAUUGUUUUCAUCGAUUGCUGUUUUAUGCAUUAUGUGUUUAUGAAAAGAGCACAAUAGCAAACCUCAGGCAAAAUAUUCCAGGUUUUCUAUACGACACACAUGAACACAAUACUCAAGUGCAGAGUGAAGGCAGAGCUAACACUUUCAAUUUAGCAUGCACAAUGCAAGGUGUCAAAUCAGCAGAGCUUACGGUUUUAAUCCCGCUUUUGCUUUACAGAUUAGACAUUAAUUUCAUAGGUACAAUUUUUUUAAAAAAAAAUUAAAACCAUUUUAUUUUUGACUUUAAAAAAAAAAAGACAUGCUCUGUUUUAUUCCUAGUUUAGGUUUUACAGCACAAUCCUAUACUUGUUUACUCAGAAGUCAGUUCCCCUAUGUUCAGUGGAACUUACUCUUUAAUAAGCAUGCUUAGGAUUGCAGCCGCAGCCACUGAGACAUGUCUGAUUCUGGAAAUGAAGCCUGAGUAUUCGUGGGACAUUUUUGCCAGUCAUAUACUUACUAAUAAAGCAACAUUUAAGAUAUUGGCAGGUAGCACUGAAACAAAUGUAGAAACCCAAAUUUUAAUGUUUCAGUAAAGAUAGGGGCUGGUAAGACGAUCUAACUAUGACUUUCGCCACAAACUCCAAUUCCUCAGGCAUGUUUGGAAAGGAAAAAUCUGGAUUUUACCAUAAAAAACUGACAGUUGUCAUUAUUGCAUUUGCUCAAAUGUAAACCUUUUACUUAUUUGAGCAUUUUAACAGUGGAGUAAUGGAAUGCAGGAAGCCCACAACUUAUCUGGGGGGUUGCGUUCCAGAGAUUGCACCUAACACCAAAAUCACAUAUGGUCAAAACCCGUUAGGUGGGAUUGCCAAAGUUAUUUGCCCUGGACGCUCACCCCCUUUCUACUUAUUAUUAUUUUUUACAUUUGCCGUGUGUGUAAAGCUGAACGUACACAUGUUAAACGUGUGUAAGUGAGGGGGACGCUCUCAUCACUACCUGGAAAUUUUGGGGACUGGACCUGGGAACCUUCUGCGUGCAAAGCGGAAUUGCAGCCUUUCCCUAUUCCUGUUAAAUGUCUGGAAUUGGCACAGAAAUUUAAGCUGGCAGGAUCUCUUAAGCAUUACCAUUAAAGACUUCAGUUUUAUUCAGCAAGAAUCAAGCUAUGCAAUUUUAUGAUUCUAUAUAUAAUUUGAACUCUCCCCCCCCCCCACAAAUAGCUGGAAUAAACACUUGUACAUAUAUCCAUAUAUACAGUAUGUUUUUUAAAAAAUUAAAAAACCUAGCCACAAUGAUAUGUCACUUAGAACCUAGUCAAGGUUCAAAGAUUGCAAAGAAUGGGAAAAGCAUAUGAACAGGCGACUCCCAUUCACCCUAGGCUUCUAUGGGAGGCAAGGCAGAAUAUAAAUUGAAUAAGUAAAAUAAUAAAUUUUCUUAUAAUGCAACAUUAUGGGCUUUCACCAAUGAUUUUUUGAUUUCAUGGCUCUCACUGUGAGCGAGAUCUGUGAACCCCACCUUGAGAUUUUAUAGUAGACUUAACACUUGAAUCAGUUCCUCGUUCUUUAGAACUAUAAAACAUUUCUAAAGCAUAGCAAGAAGUGGAACCUCCGUUAAACACAUAACACACACACACACACACACACGCUGAAAAAGCAGAAUAUAUCACAAGAUACAAACAAGGCAUUACAUCUACUAGCACAUGUGAGUUCAAAUAGCAUUAUCUUACCUGAAGUUCCUGAAUAGCAGAUAUAACAAAUAGGAAACAAAUAAAGAAAAGUAUUUGUAAACAUACUUAAUUUAAACACACUCUUUAUAGACAUUUGCCCUACAAUCUAAAUGAAUGCUACUAAACUGAUAAACUUAUCCCUUCUUGUAACUUUACAGAAGCUUAAAAAUAGCAUGAUACUGAUUUCACAACCUAAUUAAAAAAUACUGAAUCGUG